ensembl:lncRNA
GGUACUCUACAGGGUUAUGGUUAGGUCUGGUACUCUACAGGGUUAUGGUUAGGUCUGGUACUCUACAGGGUUAUGGUUAGGUCUGGUACUCUACAGGGUUAUGGUUAGGUCUGGUACUCUACAGGGUUAUGGUUAGGGUUAUGGUUAGGUCUGGUACUCUACAGGGUUAUGGUUAGGGUUAUGGUUAGGUCUGGUACUCUACAGGGUUAUGGUUAGGUCUGGUACUCUACAGGUUUGUCUCCUCCUGGUCUAGAGGUUUAUGGUUAGGUCUGGUGCUCUACAGGGUUGUCUCCUCCUGGUCUAGAGGGUUAUGGUUAGGCCUGGUACUCUACAUGAUUGUCUCCUCCUGGUCUAGAGGGUUAUGGUUAGGCCUGGUACUCUACAGGGUUAUGGUUAGGCCUGGUACUCUACAGGGUUAUGGUUAGGUCUGGUACUCUACAGGGUUAUGGUUAGGUCUGGUACUCUACAGGAUUGUCUCCUCCUGGUCUAGAGGUUUAUGGUUGGGUCUGGUAUUCUACAUAGAGCUCUAGAGAGACAGAGAGCUUUGUCAUCUGGGUUUUUAUUGGUUCUUUUAGGAUCAGGCAGUUUAUUUUCAGAGACAUUUACAUCAUACAGUAUAAUUUACAUUAAUAUAGAUAAAAUAACAUAAAUUACACUAAUAUAGAUAAUCUAACAUCAUUAGAUAUAUCAUGUUGCAUACACACAGGGCCAAUCUAAAAUGGCACCAAACUCCUCUACAGAGCCCUGUUCCCUUCAUAGUACACUACUAUAGACCAGAGCCCUGUUCCCUUCAUAGUGCACUACUUUAGACCAGAGCCCUGUUCCCUUCAUAGUGCACUACUAUAGACCAGAGCACUGUUCCCUUCAUAGUGCACUACUUUAGACCAGAGCCCUGUUCCCUGUCAUAGUACACUACUAUAGACCAGAGCCCUGUUCCCUUCAUAGUGCACUACUAUAGACCAGAGCCCUGUUCCCUUCAUAGUGCACUACUAUAGACCAGAGCCCUGUUCCCUUCAUAGUGCACUACUUUAGACCAGAGCACUGUUCCCUUCAUAGUGCACUACUAUAGACUAGAGCCCUGUUCCCUUCAUAGUGCACUACUAUAGACCAGAGUCUUAUGGAACCCUACUCCCUUCAUAGUGCACUACUUUAGACCAGAGUCCUAUGGAACCCUACUCCCUUCAUAGUGCACUACUUUAGACCAGAUGUAUUAGACAGCUUUGGGAGACUUUGGCCCAAAGUAAUUGACUAUAGUGUUGUAAUAGUGCUCACUAUAGGGAAUAGGUUGACGCCAGCCGCUCCUCAUUCACUCAGCCUAUUGAGUCCACUGAUCCCACUCACACAGAACUACCUUACGCUUUGGCCUCUUUCUCCCCUCUCUCUCCAGAUAAAAUCCUGCGACUAGUGAUGUCCGUCCGCCCGACAUCCUGCCUGCUCAACCCUUCCUCCCUUCUCCACACCAUCUCUGGAGACCUCCUCUUCCUCACUUCCCUCAUCAACUCAUCCCCAUCCCCUCCUCCCUUCUCCACACCAUCUCUGGAGACCUCCCCUUCCUCACUUCCCUCACCCCCAUCCCCUCCUCCCUUCUCCACACCAUCUCUGGAGACCUCCUCUUCCUCACUUCCCUCAUCAACUCAUCCCCAUCCCCUCCUCCCUUCUCCACACCAUCUCUGGAGACCUCCCCUUCCUCACUUCCCUCA